rnacentral:rRNA from 1 species
AUUGAACGCUGGCGGCAGGCUUAACACAUGCAAGUCGAGCGGUAGCACAGGGGAGCUUGCUCCCUGGGUGACGAGCGGCGGACGGGUGAGUAAUGUCUGGGAAACUGCCUGAUGGAGGGGGAUAACUACUGGAAACGGUAGCUAAUACCGCAUAACGUCGCAAGACCAAAGAGGGGGACCUUCGGGCCUCUUGCCAUCAGAUGUGCCCAGAUGGGAUUAGCUAGUAGGUGGGGUAAUGUCUCACCUAGGCGACGAUCCCUAGCUGGUCUGAGAGGAUGACCAGCCACACUGGAACUGAGACACGGUCCAGACUCCUACGGGAGGCAGCAGUGGGGAAUAUUGCACAAUGGGCGCAAGCCUGAUGCAGCCAUGCCGCGUGUGUGAAGAAGGCCUUCGGGUUGUAAAGCACUUUCAGCGAGGAGGAAGGUGGUGAGCUUAAUACGUUCAUCAAUUGACGUUACUCGCAGAAGAAGCACCGGCUAACUCCGUG